AGAGAUACGAAAAAAGAGAUAUCCAAAAACGUUAAUAUUCGAUAAGCAAAUACUUUCGAUAGUUGUUUUCAAUAUGUAAUUAACAAAUGUUAAAUUGUGAAAAUAAGCAAACGCACGCAAAUGCAAAUAUUACGAAAAAUGGCUGGACUGGAAUUGGAAUUUUACCGCUUGAAAAACACAAACAGCCAUAACCAAUGGGUAUCUGAGCAGGGAAUGCAGUGCCAUCAGCCACGCAGCGACAGCAAUUGCAAUUGAUAGCAAGUAGCGAAAAUCCAACUCAAGUUCACUCUCGGAGCGAGCCACCUCACACAUAGCCCUUAAUUGCGAGAGAUCAAAGACAGAGAUAAUCUCAACAACA